rnacentral:misc_RNA from 1 species
GAGUUCGUUCCUCAUUGGAGCCUCCA